CUUUUGUCUUCCAGGUAAUAUCCUGCCCUCACCAAAUACACUCACACCAUCUCAAGCUUCCCCUGGGUAACUCCUAUAUGGACAGAACACCCCCAAGUACUUCACCAAGCAGGUUCCUGCCUCCUGGAGCUGCUUUCCUGGCUCCUCCUGAACCUUUCCUAACCCUCCCCUCUCAGUUCCAAAUGCAGGUCCUGGUGGACAGCACCAUUUCAGUGCAGGUCUCCUUUCCCACGUGAUUUGGGGUGGAUUCCAGAGUUUCAGGGGCAACACCCCAGCCCUUAUUCCCCACUGAUGUGGGGCUGAUGCUGUUUGGGUCCCAUUCUCCAUCACCUUCUCAGCACCCCACCACCCCAGAUCCUGCAGCCUCUCUCAGGGGGGUCAGGGCUCCUGCCUCCUCUGCCCAACAAUGGAGGAACCUCCUCACAACCCCACAAACACCCUCACAGCCCAACAAACACCCUCACAACCCAAUGAACACCCUCACAACCCAAUGAACACCCUCACAACCCAACAAACACCCUCACAACCCCACAAACACCCUCACAGCCCAACAAACACCCUCACAACCCAACAAACACCCUCACAGCCCAACAAACAGCCUCACAACUCAAUGAACACCCUCACAAUUCAACAAACAAUUUCACAACACCAUGAACACCCUCACAACCCCACAAACACCCUCACAACCCCACAAACACCCUCGCAGCCCAAUGAACACCCUCACAAUUCAACAAACAAUUUCACAACACCACGAACACCCUCACAACCAAGCAAACACCCUCACAACCAAGCAAACACUGUCAGAACUCACCACAUUCCUUGUUUCCAGCUCUUCAUCCCCCGGGCAAACACCCUCAGCUGAAUCAGCCUGCAGUAACUCCCCUGACAGGCCUCCCUGCAGGGU
rnacentral:lncRNA from 12 species